rnacentral:rRNA from 1 species
AUGGCGGGCGCUGCUGAUAGAGUUGUGCCCUGCAAUGAAAGGGCCCGUUUCAACAAUGUGACAGGAGAGAAGGUGACGUUUGUGGCAAACCAACGGGCAUACACUGUAAAGUGUUACAAGGGUCACAAAAAGAGCGCUAUGUAUGGGAGAGGUUGGAGGAAGUUCUAUGAAGACAACAAGCUGGGUAAGGGUCAGAUGGUGGUGUUAUUCCUGGAUCAACCUUCGCCUAUGGCAUCUAUUUUGUGGUUCCAAGUGGGCAACGACUCCGAAGAUGAACAGCCUAUGGAGGAGGGUGAUCCCAUUGAAGAUUCAGACUCAGAUAAUGAGGAUGGAGGAGCUUCAAGUGAUGAUGGUGAAGGCAUUGUUCGCACUAGGGGGCUUUUGCUUAAUGAGAGAGAGGAUUUUCAGCUACAAGGGCUGCUGCCUCUUAGUGAUGAUUUCAUCGGGUUUGCUUUUGUUCACCGCCUCACAAGGACAGACAUUUGCUUGGGCAUGAUGAAAAUACCCAAGAAAGUUGUUGCUGCCAUGCUGUUUGAAGAACAGGGGGUUGUUGGUAUUUCUGUGGAUGGUGGGAGAUUCAAAAAAAUCUCAUACAGAACUGCUGAUGAUGACCGCAUUAUGUUUGACAGCAAGAAGUGGAAAGACUUCGCAGCUAGCAGAGGACUCAAAGUCAACACGGCUGUUCUUAUUGACUUCAAGAGUAGCGAGAGGGAUGAUGUCCAUGUCCUGGUUAUCUUGAAUAAGCUUGGCUAG